UGGGGAAUAUUGCACAAUGGGCGCAAGCCUGAUGCAGCCAUGCCGCGUGUGUGAAGAAGGCCUUCGGGUUGUAAAGCACUUUCAGCGGGGAGGAAGGCGAUAAGGUUAAUAACCUUGUCGAUUGACGUUACCCGCAGAAGAAGCACCGGCUAACUCCGUGCCAGCAGCCGCGGUAAUACGGAGGGUGCAAGCGUUAAUCGGAAUUACUGGGCGUAAAGCGCACGCAGGCGGUCUGUCAAGUCGGAUGUGAAAUCCCCGGGCUCAACCUGGGAACUGCAUUCGAAACUGGCAGGCUAGAGUCUUGUAGAGGGUGGUAGAAUUCCAGGUGUAGCGGUGAAAUGCGUAGAGAUCUGGGGGAAUACCGGUGGCGAAGGCGGCCCCCUGGACGAAGACUGACGCUCAGGUGCGAAAGCGUGGGGAGCAAACAGG
rnacentral:rRNA from 1 species